CCUACGGGAGGCAGCAGUGGGGAAUUUUGGACAAUGGGCGCAAGCCUGAUCCAGCAAUGCCGCGUGAGUGAAGAAGGCCUUCGGGUUGUAAAGCUCUUUUGUCAGGGAAGAAACGGUUGAGGUUAAUACCUUUGGCUAAUGACGGUACCUGAAGAAUAAGCACCGGCUAACUACGUGCCAGCAGCCGCGGUAAUACGUAGGGUGCAAGCGUUAAUCGGAAUUACUGGGCGUAAAGCGUGCGCAGGCGGUUUUGUAAGUCUGACGUGAAAUCCCCGGGCUCAACCUGGGAAUUGCGUUGGAGACUGCAAGGCUGGAGUCUGGCAGAGGGGGGUAGAAUUCCACGUGUAGCAGUGAAAUGCGUAGAGAUGUGGAGGAACACCGAUGGCGAAGGCAGCCCCCUGGGUCAAGACUGACGCUCAUGCACGAAAGCGUGGGGAGCAAACAGGAUUAGAUACCCUGGUAGUCCACGCCCUAAACGAUGUCUACUAGUUGUCGGGUCUUAAUUGACUUGGUAACGCAGCUAACGCGUGAAGUAGACCGCCUGGGGAGUACGGUCGCAAGAUUAAAACUUAAAGGAAUUGACGG
rnacentral:rRNA from 1 species